ensembl:lncRNA
UAUCUUUUUUUUUUUUUUUUUUAGAUUUCAGUUCCCUUUACUGCUUUGUGUUUUCUUGACUAAAUAAAUAAGAUAGGGGAGUAGUUUUCUAAACAAGAUCCCAAAACAGAUAAGGAGACUUAACUGGCUAAGCUGCUAGUCGUGAGAGUGUGGGAGCAGACCGGGAGGAUGGCUAGCUUGGCAGACAUUUGCUCUCCAAACCAUGUGAUCUAGCCGUCAGAGUAAAGCCAAGCAUUAGGUUAAACCUAGUCACAGCAAUGGAUGGUGCAGUUUCAGAUGUUGGUAUGUCUCUGCUAUCUCCAUACAGUGAAAAUACAGGGGGAUUUCAAAACUGACAAAAAGCCAAAACACUAAAUAGCAUCCAAGUCAAGUAACAACUGCCUGAGUGAACUGUGAAGACAGUAAAAAUAGAUCUGUCUGUACACCUGACAGAGUGCAGGGUGUGUCUGAAAGAACUCAAAGCGCAGGUAGGAUUCUGCUUUUCAGGUUGAAUCUUUGCAUUAGCAGGGCUGCAAGUGAAAAAGACAGACUGGCAUUGCAAAUAGCUGGUGUCCAACUAUCACUAGACAUCACCACAAGAGAAAGUUUCAUGUCUAAUGUAUUACUGCCUAUUAGUCAGAACACUAAAUUAGUACAUAAAAGGAAGCAGUUCUGCCCUUUGUGCUUGAUAGCUGGAAGGUAGCUAAACCCUAAUAGUAAUGAUCCUUUCUCACAAUAUCUCUUUUGGUGCAGAUUUCUUUUCACUAGUGCAGAUUUAGCUUAAUGUGUUUAUCUUCUAAGAUGAAUUUUAAGUUGUGUUGCCAUAUGUUUUUAAUUGAAAGCAGGAGUUGUCAUGGACAGCGUGUCAGGGUAGUGGUUUGUUACGGAGCAGUUUCUCAAUGCAGAGGAGCAAUCAGUAUUGUAUGGUGAACCAAACAAAGAAAAAACCCUCUGCAGUGGAACAGCUGGUCAUGGGGAAUAACUGUGCUUUCAUAUGGCUGUGUAUUAUAAGAAACAAAACCAAACUGAAGUUUGAGAGUACUAGCAAUUUAAUUUGGCAGACUGGAAGCUAGGGCAGCUGCAGAGAACACACAGAGCUUCCAGGGAGCAGCCUAACACGGUGCUCGCAUGCUGAAUCAGUUAAAUACAAGCAUCGCGUACUCUGGUGUUCCUUUGUGCUGCUUUUCCUAUUCAGUAAAGGCAACAGCAUUUUAAAUGGUUCUUGAUUAGGUAGGGGAAAUGUCCACAAAUACAGGCACUGCCUCAAUGUUAUCAAAGCACUCUCAUCUAAUUAUUCAUUACUUUGAGUCCUGUUAAUAGUAGUGGCUUAGCAUACACAUAAUCUUGUAUCAGUAGCAGAAGAGUGAGGCAAAUGGGGGAGAGACAGGUUUGUGCAGUAUAGGUAGUAUCAUUUACUGUUGCUUAAUGGUUAUGAACCAGUAAGCAGUUUUCAUUCCAGCACUUGAAAGCUCAGCUGCUUCAUCUGUCUUGUUUCCUUUGAGUGCUAUCCCAUUCAGUGCUUCUGGUGAGGACUCCUAUCUUAAAUCUUCAGCAGCGAAUCCAAAUACCAGAAGGUAUUUGUGAGAGGGUAUGUACUAAUUUUGUGGAGACACCCCUAAGUGCAUGGAGCAGUAAGAAUGAGUGGCAAGGACAGCCAGGGAAUGGACUUGGUUUCUGAGCCCAGGUGCCAUGUUAAACCAAUGAAGUGUCUUUAGGAAUGUCUUCGUACCAAAUUCAUUUUCAAAGCACAGUGCUGUUUAGCCUCUACAUGCAUUGAUAACAACUGUAAGUCUAAAACUCUGGGCUUCAGGGGGGAUCAGACUCCUUGUGGUAGGGCCUUUGGACUUCCUGGUGAGCCUCUUCAGUCAAAUUGUUUCUGAAAAAUGUCUUAGGAAACUUAAAGUACUGCAUUUCCUAACCAUAAUUUUCUGAAAAUUGUUAUUCCCUUAUUGAUCAUCAAUUUUGUUUUAAUUCUUUUGGCUUUUUGGUUUUUUUUUUUCCCUAGAAGCAUAGAAAGUUCAUAUUUUUUAAAAAACAAAAAAUGAAAAAAGAAAGAAAAAAAAAGAAACAACCAAAACAACAAAACAUCUUCCAGAAGGGAUAUAACCAGAAGGGAUUUUGUCCAAAACACUAUUACUCCUAAUUUCAGUGCUUCAAUCUUCCAGUUGGAUCAGCGUUCAGAGAUGUAGGUGUUAAUGCCAAGCAAUUUCUUUCUGAAGCAGAUCGUUGGUGCUGCUGCUUUUUAUUUUUGAGCCAUGCCUGUCAUAUGUGACAAUUUGGGGUUUGUAAUGGGGUUUUGUAUUUUUCGCUGUAUACAUGGAACAUCAGUCACGUUUGAUGUAAUAUCAUGCACUCUCCUAUUUGACACAUUCAUUGUUUUUGAUGUUCUGACAUUCAAGGGGAUCUUGGUUUUGCAUAUUAAAUUUUGGGAUGGUAGAUCUGCAUGUGAUAUACCUCACAGAACUACUAGUUAAUAUAUCAACAAAAUAGUAAGCUAAUAUUACAGGCAGGCAGUGAAUUACCUCCCCUGCUGUGCAGUGGCUGCAUGGGCAGACUUUGACCCAAGACUGAUACUUGCUGUGGUAGCUGUCUUUAAUAUCUGUGGUUGCUGCUUUCAUGGGUAAACCAUUUCCAAAGGGAAACAGUAGCUGUGCUGUCUGUCCUGGCACAGUUGGCAAAUGGACUGUGUUUGUUUGUCUUUGGUUUAUGUGGGGGACCAGAGCUUUCCUCUGCUGGGAACAUGGCAGCAGCAAGCUCCUGCUGACCUUGAGUUUUGGGGCUGCUCUGAAGAGGCACCAUCGGGCCACCUUUUUUGUUUGUUUGUUUGUUUUGAUACAUUCAGCUGAGUAAAGCUGAGGGCUGUUGUGUUUCAUGUGAUCUUGUCCUCCAGGACACUCAGUUGAACAUAUAUAGUAGAAAAGUGAAGGCAAUUGGAUGCAUUGGAGUGGGAAGGUGUUUAGACAUCACUCUGAAAAGGCAAAGAGAAAGCGUAUGCUCUAUUUUUAGACAAAUAUUGCUUUGUAAAUAGAAUAUUUGUAUACCUACAAGUAGAUAGAAAUAUAGUAAAGAAUUUGAAAUACAUAGGGAAAAUGUAACAUUUAAAGGAUCAGAUUGCUAACAAGGCUCCACGCACCAUAAAUCUAUCAAGAGCUUCCCAUGUAAAUAGCAUCUUCUGUUCCGCCACAGACUUUGAUGAAGACUUCAGUGCAAAUGGCAUUAAUGUUUUUAACACUAAGAAAAGCCCUAACCAAUUAUGCACGUAUGGGCUUACCUCAUUAGGUACCUUGGUGCUUAUUGCAGAGGAAAUUGGGUUGCAAUUCCCAAAGCAGUUUUUUUUGGAGCACUGUACUUGAUUAUAUGCCUUCUGAGAUGCAGUUUCGUCUAGAGAAAACAACUGUUGUCUGCCCUCCUCUCAACACACUACACAGAGUUUGUGCUGCUGUAUGUUAAGCAGUGCUCUGUGUGGCUGAUGGUCAGAGAUGCUGUUGGCAGUUUGCAGGUUUUGUUGUUGGCUUUUUCUUUGCCUUUUCCUUAGGAAGCCUUGAAACACAGUUGCAGACCCCAAAUUACAUGGAUUCGGAAUGUUUAGUUUUAGUUAGAAAUUAGUUUAAAAACUAAUUUCCUCGUGCUUCUUGAAUUUCUAAAUAUCUCCUUAGAAUCUGGAAAACAGUUUCUUCCAUAACAAUUUUCUUUCCUCUCCUCCCCCAUUUAUAUAACUCUGGAUUUUCCCCAGUGUUUCUAAGAUAGCCAGUGUUUGUUUCCUUUUAGCAUGUUAUGCAAACAAACCUCAGAUGAUAUUGGCAGGGGUUUCUGUAACUUUAUGAGUUGUCCCAGGGUGCAUGACAAUACUUUUUCCCCACAGAAGAAGUCUACUGAUUCCUUCUGCUUUUACAACAGAAAAUUAUAUCUCCAGAGAGCUUUUGAUUUUGGAGGGCAGUGGCUCAGCAUCUCCAUGCAGGUGAGCUGGUCUAAUGGCAGGGUGGUACAUGAGAGGAUGGAGUUAAUCCCUCUCCAGUCUCACCCUCUUCUUGUGAAAAUGCUGCCCAAGUGACUUUGUGGUGCAGCAGAGCAGAUGACAUCCUUAUUUUUUAAUGUGAUACCCAACAGAAUCUUUAGGUAAGUUUUUGGGCAGUCCCAAACCUGCACUUUGACUGGUGUUACGUGAAAGCAAGCUCCAGUGGAAGCGUAUGCACAACCUCCACGAGAAUGUUCAAUAUCUUUCCAACUCAUUUGGUCUCAUGUUGGGCGAAAUGUAGUAAAUAAAACUUAACCAGCAACAAAGCAAAAAGUUAAAUGUUUUAAUUUUCAUUAUUUGGGCUAAGAAAAAUUAAAUAAAGAAAUUGCUCAAGCAAGGCAAAGUACAAUAGAAACUGGCAAGGUUUCACACUUCUUAGUAGUAAUACAAUAAAAAAGAAUCCUUGAACAUCACUUUGUCAAUGUUUCCUUGAUGUGAUUCAAGAGUGGCUUGGGAUGGACAAUAUUUUGUGCUACACAGCAUGUCAGAAAAGUUUCUCAUGCAGGGGAUAGCAAAAAUAGAAGAUCACUGAAUCGACUCUGAAAUCCUACUCGAAGGUAACAGUAAUUUCAACUUUGAUCCUGUUGUGGCACACAAAACAGUGGAGCUGAUGGAGUCAUACAGGUCACCUGAAAAACAAAACAAUGUACUAUAAUGCUGUAACUCUUACAAUAUACACUGUGAACAGGUUCAAUGUUUUUUUAGCUCUUUUUAUACCAUAUUUUUACAGCGUAAAUAAUCUGUUUAGAGAUGUUUUUAUGUUCUGUUUUUACAAAGAUUUUAAUGGACUUCUGUUUAAUACUAGUGAAAAUAUUGUUUGCCAAUUUAAAAUAGUCAUCUAUAGAAAAUAAUUCUGAGAAUAAAUCAAUAAAUCAAGCUGACAAAAUAGUCUUCCUAACACACUAAAUCUAAUCAUUCAUUUAACAUAAUUCAGUUGCUGAAAUAUACUGAAGUUUUCCAGCUUCCAAAUCCAGUAUUGCAUAAA